AUUAUAGAAUCGGAUAGUCGAAACAACAGGAAAUAUGGCGGCAUUGCGCCGAGUACGAAGGUGAAUUUGUAUAAACUAACAUUUGUUUUUGAUUAUUACUUGAUCAAAUAAAAAAGACAACAUUGUAAUGAAAGUGUGUAAUGUUUUGUGAUAAGAUGUGUAGUGUUUUGUGACGAAAAUAACAGCCCCUUGUGGCUGAAUCGGAUUUUUUGGUGUUGGAUUAUCGUCACACGAGACAAAUAAUUGGAAGUGCCCUCGAGGUGGCAGUUUCAGGAAAAAAAUAAAAAAAAAUGAAGGAUGACGUGGACGAGGAUGAUGCUGGCACGUUGUCUUCCACUUCUGUGCCGGAAACAACAAUCUCGUACGGCAAUCCAAGGGCGUCACGGAACAUGGCGGAGAAACAACGCCGAGACAAUCUUAAUACGAACAUCUCGGCGAUGGCUGCGCUCGUACCAACUGUCGCCGAAAGCCCGAGGAAGAUGGACAAGAUAUCUAUCCUGAGAUUAGCCGCUAAUUUCCUCAGAAUACGAUAUACUGUUGGACGUGGCGUAUCUGAUUUUCUACCUCGAGAACUUGGUGAUCUGGAUUUGGAACAAUACAUAGGCGAUAAUUUGAUUAAAAACGGGAGCUUCUUUAUUGUUGUCACGACCACCGGAAAAAUAGUAUACGUCAGUCGGCAAGUUCAAGAACAUCUUGGUCAUACUCAGGCGGACCUACUUGGCCAUUCUCUUUACGCAUUCAUUCAUCCUAAAGAUGAAGAGGAGCUUGCGAGGAACCUUAACCCGGAUGAAAUGCAAGGUGUGGUAUCCUCGUCAUUGCCACAGAUCACCGACGGAUCGAAUGACAAUUCCAAUUCAUCGGAGGAUUCAACAUCUUCGAAGAACGGUAAAACGUUCCAAAAUCAGAGGCGGACUUUCGAACUUCGAAUGUUGCAUCGUACUUCAUCGAGGCGAGAGCAUACACAGUACGAAUGGUUUGAAUUCUCUGGAAUGCUCAGGCUUGCGGAUGCUUGCAAAAAUUCCGCGUCAAAUGUUAAUCGAUCGAGACAUCGAGAAAUUACUUCAACCAGUAACGACAUCGUUUUCGUGGGUGUAGCACAAUUAUUGAUGAAACAGCCACUCACGAAAAUUUCGAUAAUAGAUGCUAAUAAGAACGAGUAUAUCACUCGACAUUUGGUAGAUGGCAGGAUCAUUUAUUGUGAUCAUAGGGUGUCAGUUGUGGCUGGAUAUUUAUCGGAAGAAGUAUCGGGUAUGAGUGCUUUUGGUUUCAUGCAUAAAGAUGAUCGUAUUUGGGCGAUGGUUGCACUUCGUCAAAUGUACGAUCGCGCGGAAACUUGUGGAUCAUCUUGUUAUAGAUUAACAUCAAAAACAGGAGAACCCAUUUAUCUACGUACUCAUGGAUAUUUAGAAGUAGAUAAGGAUACACAAAUUGCAGUAUCACUUGUGUGCAUAAAUACAUUAGUAUCGGAAGAGGAAGGAAUACAACUUAUGCAACAGAUGAAAAAGAGAUUUUCGGCUACGAUUUCUGAAACUAUGAGAGCCAUAAUCCAAAAUGGAGAUGAUGCAUCGAUUGAUUUGGGCUCAGAUUCUCAAAAUCCGAAUUCGAAAAGUAAUAUGGAGGAUCCCGCACAAUUAGAAGAUGCUAUCACAUAUCUAGUUAGUGACCUGUCAUCACCUCUUCCAGAAGAUUGUCUAUCACCUCCUACACAAAAUGAACAGUAUGCGAAAGCUGCUAUGAUAUCACAACAUUUACCUCCUGCUGAAGCCCAAGCUCGAAGACUUGGAAUUAAGAAAAUCGAUCGUUAUUUAAUGGUGCAAGCCAAGGCAAAUCAUAAUCAGAAAUCAGAAUCAAAGACAAAUACUAAUAAGAAUAACUCUAAUGAAAGACAAGAAAAUACGAGAUCGUCAAGAAAAACUGUACAUGAAGUUACAAAACAAACACGUAAUAGUACACAAGAUGAGCAAAAUUCAUCACGAACUAAUAGUAUGUCUAAUGUAGAAUCAUGCAUAAAUACCCAACGAAAAUCUGGAAUAUCUCAACUUGAACUUCGUCAAAAUGUGGAUAUUUUGAAUCCUAAUACUACGGUUAAGAAACCUGUUGCAACAAUAGAAAAUAAUUCAUGUAAUAUUAAAAUUGAACGUAAUAUGGAUGUUUAUACGCCCGAAACAAUGAUUGAAUACUUUGAAAAGAAUGCGAUUGAUAAUAAUGUUACUUCUGAUUUGAAGAAUCAUCCUUAUCCAUUGAAGAGGAUAUAUAGUGACGAAGAUAUUAAGACAGGUUGCACUAAAAAAAGACAGUAUAAUAAUGUUCCUUACGCAUCAUCGGAUACAAGCGAUGAACAGAAUAUUUCUUACAUUGAUUGUAAGUCUUUCGUUGAUGAAGAAUUUUCAGAACUUUCAACGGAUUUCAACAAUAUAAAUCCUCAAUCACUAAAGAUUGCUGAAUCGCCAAAUUCAAGUCUAAGUGAAGUCAUAACUGAUUAUCAGCAAGUGGAUUCUAGUAUACCACUUAUAGCUCCAAAUCCUGAAUUGGAACCGGAAUAUGGCGAUCUUCAGGACAAUUCAUUGCUGAGCCCAGACCUGGAAGCAAAUCCAGGUACCGAACUCAGUACAGUAACCCUGCAUCUACAAACGAAAUCUAAUAAUGAAAAUAUUUGAUGAUCUAAGGCAUAUACCAAUUCUUGAAAAUACUUUUAAUGAAACAGAAGUACAAUUAACAGACAAUAUGGUAAUCAAUAAAGAAAUAAGGAAAAAACAUCUUCAACUUAUGAAUAAUAUAGCACGCCAAGAAUCACAGUUGAAUGUUUUGGCACGAGACU
rnacentral:misc_RNA from 1 species